rnacentral:piRNA from 1 species
CAACAGGGAUUGAAAAUGAUUUGGCU